GGCGUUCGCGAGGCGCCAGCCUGCCCCACGCAUCCUCCGAGUCUGGCCCGAGCCGGCAGCGCGUCUGAGAAGCAACCCCCAGCUCUGAACCUGUCCGCCUCGGAGGGAACAAGCCCCGGCCCGGGGUGGCCACGGCCGGAGGGACGCCAGCACGGAGCACCAGCGACCCCCCAGGAGCAAGAUGCCUGCAGCCCUGCUGUGCAGACGGGCGCCGGGACCCUCACCCUUCGGCGGAAACCUUCCUAGAAAUACCGGCCAAUCCAGGCUUUCGGCCCUGCUGCUCCAGCCUCUGGCCUGACUUCCCACCUGGCGUCACCAGCGGCUGUGGCUCAGCCUCUCCUCAGCUCCCCAGGGCGGGGCGGGGGCGUGUCCAGAGUCGAGGCCCUCUGCUCGCCGCCGCCUCUCCCCGCACGGGCCACGCGGCCGACGCCGCUUCACCCAGAGCUGGGCGAAGUCUUCCUGGCGUCCCGGAAGGCGCAGCAUUUCCCUGUGCCUCCGUUUCCUCACUACGAAGUGGAAACAAGAAGGUUGGCUGCCGUGCGGGCGGCGCUUGCAACGAAAGAACAGCGGUUUACUUCAGAGUUAACAGGGUAAAGCUGGCAUUCCCACCUCCACUCUCGAAUGGGACUCUGUGUCACAGUAUCUGUUAGAGGCCUUUAAAGUCGGCCGCAAGGUCGGCCGUUAUUGUUGGUUGAAAGCCACAGCCCUACCUGAGGCUUUGAGAGACAUGAACCCCAAUGAGUUUUCUUUUCCUGACUCGCCAGAUACCAAGAAAAAAGCAACUUCCCCAAAGGCGUAAAAACAGAAAGUACCCUUGGGUGAACACGGAGGACUGGUUCCAGCCUAUAGUUAGAGACGGGAGGCGCUCAGAACCGUCUAGUACUAUUACUCCUUGUCUGCCACCCGGACCCCCGCACCCACAGUUUUACAGAUAAGGAACCAGAGCCACAAAGCCUGUGAGAAGGCCUGCCCACAGUCAUGUAACUUGAGAAGGGUGGGCAAGGACUCUGGUCUCCCCAUUCCUUAACUUUCCACCACAAAAAGGAGAAAGAGGGCAGAUGAAGACAGCCCAGAAGUGGCCAGGGAGGGAGGAAGGGGUAGAACCGCCCUGGAACUGAGUAGCAGGAAUGACAGAGUGUGUGCCGGAGUGGCGUGGUGGAUUCUAAGAGCACUUUGAAAGCUAAAGAACGUGCUGGAGACGUUAUGGCAUCCUUGACUUCUAACAUGCCCUUGGUGUUCCUAAAACUGAAGACGGAGGAAAGCUGAAACAGAGUUGCCCAUUAAGAAUUCACUACCAGGAAGCUGGGCACCCCGUGAAGCCCACUCGGCCCCAUCUCGCAUCCUCUCAGAGGUGGGCAUUCUCUUUCUCCACCAGCAGGUGUGACCCAGAUGUUGAGCUUUCGUGGUAUCCCCCCACCCUCCCACUCAGCUCCAUCUGUGUCUCCCUGUCCCAAGAGGGCAGGUCACUAACCAACAGAUCUGAUCAGCACCUGACCCCUGUUGGCCAGAGCUUAGAACUACAGCUUCCCAGGCGCAUUCUUCCCCCUUUUCUACUUCCAACCUCCCCAAAGCAGCUGGUAGGAAUCAAGAUGCCUGUCACUCUUGUGGCACCUGAUUAUGUACCACUUUAUAUAGCUCUGUUGUUGCUUCGAUUAAAAAUAUAUGUUUGUAUCCUC